UACGUAGGGGGCAAGCGUUGUCCGGAAUCAUUGGGCGUAAAGAGCGCGUAGGCGGCCCGAUAAGUCCGCUGUGAAAGUCAAGGGCUUAACCCUUGAAUGCCGGUGGAAACUGUCGGGCUAGAGUCCGGAAGAGGCGAGUGGAAUUCCCGGUGUAGCGGUGAAAUGCGCAGAUAUCAGGAGGAACACCAAUGGCGAAGGCAGCUCGCUGGGACGUGACUGACGCUGAGACGCGAAAGCGUGGGGAGCAAACAGG
rnacentral:rRNA from 1 species